GGAUUAGAUACCCUGGUAGUCCACGCUGUAAACGAUGUCAACUAGGUCGUGCGGGUUCUGACGCCGGCACGGCCGAAGCAAAAGUGUUAAGUUGACCGCCUGGGGAGUACGGUCGCAAGGCUAAAACUCAAAGGAAUUGACGGGGGCUCACACAAGCGGUGGAGCAUGUGGAUUAAUUCGAAGCAACGCGCAGAACCUUACCUGGGUUUGACAUGCUUGGAUGCCCUCCUGGAAACAGGAGUAAGCUGCCUUCGGGUGAAACUUGCACAGGUGCUGCAUGGCUGUCGUCAGCUCGUGCCG
rnacentral:rRNA from 1 species